ensembl:lncRNA
CUUUUGACAGCUGAGUAGUGUUGUGUGUUUUGGUUUUUUUUUUUUUUUUUUUUCCUUUAUGUAUUUUUUUCUAUCAGGAGUAUACUCAGUGAGAUUUUACUGUCUCCACACUAAAUGAAUUAUUCAGAAAAUCAUAGAGUUAUUUGGAAGGGACCUUUUAAAGUCAUCUGGUCCAACUCCUCUGCAGUGAACAGGGACACCCACAGCUCCAUCAGGUUCUCAGAGACCUGUCCAGCCUUACCUUGAGUGUCUCUAGGGAUGUGUCACUCACCACCUCUCUGGGCAAUCUGUGCCAGUGCCUCACCAUCCUUAUUGUAAAAGACUUCUUUCUUAUAUCCUGUCCAAAUCUCCCCUCUUUUAGUUUGAAACCAUUUCUUCUUGUCCUAUCACAACAGAUCCUGCUCAAGAGUCUGUCCCCUUCUUUCUUAUAGGUCCCGUUUAGAUACUGACAGACUGCUCGCAGGUCUCAGGCUGCACAGCCCCAGCUCUCAGCCUGUUCUUGUAGUGAGGUGUUCCAUCCCUCGGAUCAUUUUUGGGCCUGGAGCAUCUCCUGUACGAGGAAGGGCUGAGACCUGGGGCUGUUCAGUCUGGAGAAGAGAAGGCUGAGAGGUGAUCUCAGCACUGUUUAUAAAGAUCUCAAGUGUGGGAGUCAAGUAGAUGAGGAGCAGUCUUUUUGGUGAUGUGCAGCAAUAGAACAAAGGGCAAUGGGCAGAAACUGGAACAUUUUAUAAAGCUCUAUAUGAACACAAGGAAAAACUUCACUGUGAAAGUGAUGGAGUACUGAAACCGGCUUCCCAGAGAGGUGGUGGAGUCUCCCUCUCUGGAGGUAUUCAAGAUCCAUCUGAAUGCCUUCCUGUGCGACCAGCUGUAGGGAACUGCUUUAACAAGGGGUUGGACUAGAUGACCUCCACAAGUCUCUUUCAACCCCUAUGAUUCUGUGGUUUGGAAACUGGAAAUUUGGAGGGGACUAGCAUAUGUUGCUGUAACUCCAGAAGGAGUAGGACUCUGAUGGAUACAUAUCUACAUUAAGCUCCAGGAUUCUAGACUAGUUAAAGAAUCACUAAAGUCUCUACUAGUAUCUCAUUCUCCCCCUUUUCUUCAAGUGCUCUUGCUGGCAUGAAGUAUGAGGUUGCUAUAUUUCAUUCAUGGUUGUCAGAGCCAAUUCUUUAAAUGAGUAUAACAACUAUGAACAUUUUAAAUGUUAACUCACUUCUACAUGUUGAGCCCCCAACUGCACACAACUUGAAUUAAUAAGACUCUGUCGUUUUCCUGAAAUGCAUCCAGUUUAUGCAAUGCAAAGAUGUUGGAAAGACAACAAGCACAGUGAUGGACGCUAGAUUACUUGCUAAUUCCUCUGUAUUAUACUAAAGUUUCUUUUUUGUAUUUUUUUAAGAAGAGAAAUAGGAAAAUUUGGAAUGCUUUUCUAGUUGAACUAUAACUGCAAAACAUCAGAGGGCUUUGCUCAUUAUCACAAACUCUUCUCUGAAAACAAAAUUAGGAUUGCAGUAUCUGUGGUAAGAAGAUGUUAAGGAGACGAGACUCAAAAAUGUAGGGCUGGGUGAUGAAUGGUCUUGCAAGAAUAAUGUGUUCUGUGGCAGUAGAUGAAGAUAGAUGGUAGCCUGGAGAGAAGGGAUCAGUAGAAGACAGACAUAAGAUUGGGAGUGAAAAGAAAGAUGCAGAGCCACUUUGUAGGUGGGAAAUGGGUAGGGAAAGGUUCAGGAGACUGCAAGAACAAGGAGUUAGUGUGAUUUGGACUGAACAGUGCAGAGUGUUGUCAGAGCAGCAGGAGAGGCUUUUAUUAGUAACAUUUGAGAAGACUAUUGUAAGAAAAAUAGCUCGUUAGUCAUUGCAAACAGUAAUGGAGACAUUGGCAUGAGUCUUGGCAUCAGCAAUAGUGCAUGGUAUACCAUAUUUUGUGUGGUAGAAACACAUCCAGAUCAGGUGGAAGACUGGGUAUUUUUUCAUCGUUACCUGGUUCAUGACAUGCAGAUUGACAGCACCUGUCUUGCUAUUUAUGAAGUGAUUGCCUUCUUUUCUGGUUUAAUUGAGCUGUUCCCUCACUCCAAGUGCUACCCGCUGUAGGAUUUAACCUGUGACAAAAACAACGCUCUAUCAUCACUGCCUGUUCUGUUUCCUAAGUUAGAUCUCCUUCAUUUCUCCAGCUGGGUUGUCUUUUAUUAUGUUCCCCCAGCAAUCUGAGAGAAGGUCUGCCAGGACUGAGGCUUUGGCUUCACAAUUAGUACAGGUGCCAAAUAUUGCCUCAUUUUCUGACUCUUUUCCUGCUCUUUGCCCAACUCCUCCUCUCCUUAGCUUUUUUUUUUUUUCUUUUUUUUUUUUUCCCCUCUUCUUUUUUUGUAAACCGAAGCUUGGGAUGCAGUUUGUGUCUAGAAUACGUGAACCCUGAAGCUCAGGUUGU